GGGGCUGAUUUUGGAUUCGACGGAGUAUCUUGUUAUUUAAAGUGCAUGCCGAGGUGAGGCAGGCCUCGUAAAAAGCCUCAAAAGAUAAAUGCAAAUAAUACUACAUAUAGAGAAUCUGUUGCUUUAGCAGCUUAAAUCAGACUAAUAUUCUGAAGGUUCCCUCUCGUUUCAAUAUUUACUCUUAGAUAUUAAAAAAUAAAUAGAGAGGCCAUAUAAAUAAGAGUGCGCGUAAAUGCUUGCUUUUGGCUUAACGUUAAGUAUAAAAAGCUAGUUGGUUAGUGAUUGGUCUUGAUAUAUCUACGCCAAUUAAAUGUAAUUCAAGACCUAAGCAUGUAGGUUACUAAAAAUAAAAAGAAUUCUGGACGCGGGUUCGAACCCCGCCAGCUCCACCA
rfam:Candidatus Blochmannia pennsylvanicus str. BPEN, complete genome.